rnacentral:rRNA from 1 species
GAGUUUGAUCCUGGCUCAGGACGAACGCUGGCGGCGCGCCUAACACAUGCAAGUCGAACGAGCGAGAGAGAGCUUGCUUUCUCAAGCGAGUGGCGAACGGGUGAGUAACGCGUGAGGAACCUGCCUCAAAGAGGGGGACAACAGUUGGAAACGACUGCUAAUACCGCAUAAGCCCACGACCCGGCAUCGGGUUGAGGGAAAAGGAGCAAUCCGCUUUGAGAUGGCCUCGCGUCCGAUUAGCUGGUUGGUGAGGUAACGGCCCACCAAGGCGACGAUCGGUAGCCGGACUGAGAGGUUGGACGGCCACAUUGGGACUGAGACACGGCCCAGACUCCUACGGGAGGCAGCAGUGGGGAAUAUUGCACAAUGGGGGAAACCCUGAUGCAGCGACGCCGCGUGGAGGAAGAAGGUCUUCGGAUUGUAAACUCCUGUUGUUGAGGAAGAUAAUGACGGUACUCAACAAGGAAGUGACGGCUAACUACGUGCCAGCAGCCGCGGUAAAACGUAGGUCACAAGCGUUGUCCGGAAUUACUGGGUGUAAAGGGAGCGCAGGCGGGAAGACAAGUUGGAAGUGAAAUCCAUGGGCUCAACCCAUGAACUGCUUUCAAAACUGUUUUUCUUGAGUAGUGCAGAGGUAGGCGGAAUUCCCGGUGUAGCGGUGGAAUGCGUAGAUAUCGGGAGGAACACCAGUGGCGAAGGCGGCCUACUGGGCACCAACUGACGCUGAGGCUCGAAAGUGUGGGUAGCAAACAGGAUUAGAUACCCUGGUAGUCCACACCGUAAACGAUGAUUACUAGGUGUUGGAGGAUUGACCCCUUCAGUGCCGCAGUUAACACAAUAAGUAAUCCACCUGGGGAGUACGACCGCAAGGUUGAAACUCAAAGGAAUUGACGG